GCUGGGCAUGGUGGCGCAUGCCUGUAAUCCCAGCUACUUGGGAGGCUGAGACAGGAGAAUUGCUUAAACCCAGGAGGCAGAGGUUGCAGUGGCUGAGAUCUCGGUACUGCACUCCAGCCUGGGUGACAGAGCGAGACUGCGUCUCAA
rnacentral:SRP_RNA from 1 species